CUUUUCCUUCUGAUUAUGAAAUUCUAACUGCAAUUAUUUUCGGUACAGCCUCUUCCGCCUCAGGAGGAGAUGGAAUUGAAAGAGACACUACAAGAUAUAAUUGGACAGGGGAAGACAGUUAAGCUUGAACAGAAGAUAGAUCCUAGUAUUCUUGGUGGCCUUGUGAUAGAAUUUGGGCAGAAGGUCUUCGACAUGUCUAUUAAGACAAGGGCAAAA